UCGAGUAGGGUCUUCUAGCCGACCUCCCAACCCAUUGUUGAACAUACCUACUGUUGCUUCGGCGGGCCGUCUCGCCCCCGAGGAGCGCUAGCGUGUGCCUCUGGCUCCGGCGCCCGCCUAUGGCCACCACAAACUCUGUAAUAUCUUGUCUUCAUGUCUGAAGUCUAUGAGUAGUUAAAAAUCA
rnacentral:misc_RNA from 1 species